rnacentral:rRNA from 1 species
UCCGAAGGUCCCAAGCGUUAUCCGGAUUUAUUGGGUUUAAAGGGUGCGUAGGCGGGUUAUUAAGUCAGUGGUGAAAGCUCCAUGCCUAACAUGGAAAUUGCCAUUGAUACUGAUGAUCUUGAGUACAUUUGAAGUGGGCGGAAUGUGUCAUGUAGUGGUGAAAUACUUAGAUAUGACACAGAACACCGAUUGCGUAGGCAGCUCACUAAACUGUAACUGACGCUGAGGCACGAAAGCGUGGGGAGCAAACAGG